UUCCCUAUGGGGGGCAGCAGUGGGGAAUAUUGCACAAUGGGGGAAACCCUGAUGCAGCGACGCCGCGUGAGCGAAGAAGUAUUUCGGUACGUAAAGCUCUAUCAGCAGGGAAGAAAAUGACGGUACCUGACUAAGAAGCCCCGGCUAACUACGUGCCAGCAGCCGCGGUAAUACGUAGGGGGCAAGCGUUAUCCGGAUUUACUGGGUGUAAAGGGAGCGUAGACGGCGUAUCAAGUCUGAUGUUGAAGGCUGGGGCUCAACCCCUGGACUGCAUUGGAAACUGGUAUGCUUGAGAGCCGGAGGGG
rnacentral:rRNA from 1 species